GAUGAACGCUGGCGGCGUGCUUAACACAUGCAAGUCGAACGAUGAAGCCCAGCUUGCUGGGUGGAUUAGUGGCGAACGGGUGAGUAACACGUGAGUAACCUGCCCUUGACUCUGGGAUAAGCCUGGGAAACUGGGUCUAAUACUGGAUAUGACUUCUCAUCGCAUGGUGGGGGGUGGAAAGAUUUAUUGGUCUUGGAUGGACUCGCGGCCUAUCAGCUUGUUGGUGAGGUAAUGGCUCACCAAGGCGACGACGGGUAGCCGGCCUGAGAGGGUGACCGGCCACACUGGGACUACGACACGGCCCAGACUCCUACGGGAGGCAACAGUGGGGAAUAUUGCACAAUGGGCGCAAGCCUGAUGCAGCGACGCCGCGUGAGGGAUGACGGCCUUCGGGUUGUAAACCUCUUUCAGUAGGGAAGAAGCGAGAGUGACGGUACCUGCAGAAGAAGCGCCGGCUAACUACGUG
rnacentral:rRNA from 1 species